rnacentral:rRNA from 1 species
AUACGUAGGGGGCAAGCGUUGUCCGGAUUUACUGGGUGUAAAGGGCGCGCAGGCGGGUUGGCAAGUCAGAGGUGAAAUCUCCCGGCUUAACCGGGAAAUUGCCUUUGAUACUGUCAGUCUUGAGUACGGAAGAGAGAGACGGAAUUCCAGGUGUAGCGGUGAAAUGCGUAGAUAUCUGGAAGAACACCAGUGGCGAAGGCGGUCUCUUGGUCCGAUACUGACGCUGAGGCGCGAAAGCGUGGGGAGCAAACAGGAUUAGAAACCCCAGUAGUCC